AAAUUGAAGAGUUUGAUCAUGGCUCAGAUUGAACGCUGGCGGCAGGCCUAACACAUGCAAGUCGAGCGGUAGCACAGAGAGCUUGCUCUCGGGUGACGAGCGGCGGACGGGUGAGUAAUGUCUGGGAAACUGCCUGAUGGAGGGGGAUAACUACUGGAAACGGUAGCUAAUACCGCAUAAUGUCGCAAGACCAAAGUGGGGGACCUUCGGGCCUCAUGCCAUCAGAUGUGCCCAGAUGGGAUUAGCUAGUAGGUGGGGUAACGGCUCACCUAGGCGACGAUCCCUAGCUGGUCUGAGAGGAUGACCAGCCACACUGGAACUGAGACACGGUCCAGACUCCUACGGGAGGCAGCAGUGGGGAAUAUUGCACAAUGGGCGCAAGCCUGAUGCAGCCAUGCCGCGUGUGUGAAGAAGGCCUUCGGGUUGUAAAGCACUUUCAGCGGGGAGGAAGGCGUUAAGAUUAAUAACCUUGGCGAUUGACGUUACCCGCAGAAGAAGCACCGGCUAACUCCGUGCCAGCAGCCGCGGUAAUACGGAGGGUGCAAGCGUUAAUCGGAAUUACUGGGCGUAAAGCGCACGCAGGCGGUCUGUCAAGUCGGAUGUGAAAUCCCCGGGCUCAACCUGGGAACUGCAUUCGAAACUGGCAGGCUAGAGUCUUGUAGAGGGGGGUAGAAUUCCAGGUGUAGCGGUGAAAUGCGUAGAGAUCUGGAGGAAUACCGGUGGCGAAGGCGGCCCCCUGGACAAAGACUGACGCUCAGGUGCGAAAGCGUGGGGAGCAAACAGGAUUAGAUACCCUGGUAGUCCACGCCGUAAACGAUGUCGAUUUGGAGGUUGUGCCCUUGAGGCGUGGCUUCCGGAGCUAACGCGUUAAAUCGACCGCCUGGGGAGUACGGCCGCAAGGUUAAAACUCAAAUGAAUUGACGGGGGCCCGCACAAGCGGUGGAGCAUGUGGUUUAAUUCGAUGCAACGCGAAGAACCUUACCUGGUCUUGACAUCCACAGAACUUUCCAGAGAUGGAUUGGUGCCUUCGGGAACUGUGAGACAGGUGCUGCAUGGCUGUCGUCAGCUCGUGUUGUGAAAUGUUGGGUUAAGUCCCGCAACGAGCGCAACCCUUAUCCUUUGUUGCCAGCGGUUCGGCCGGGAACUCAAAGGAGACUGCCAGUGAUAAACUGGAGGAAGGUGGGGAUGACGUCAAGUCAUCAUGGCCCUUACGACCAGGGCUACACACGUGCUACAAUGGCAUAUACAAAGAGAAGCGACCUCGCGAGAGCAAGCGGACCUCAUAAAGUAUGUCGUAGUCCGGAUUGGAGUCUGCAACUCGACUCCAUGAAGUCGGAAUCGCUAGUAAUCGUAGAUCAGAAUGCUACGGUGAAUACGUUCCCGGGCCUUGUACACACCGCCCGUCACACCAUGGGAGUGGGUUGCAAAAGAAGUAGGUAGCUUAACCUUCGGGAGGGCGCUUACCACUUUGUGAUUCAUGACUGGGGUGAAGUCGUAACAAGGUAACCGUAGGGGAACCUGCGGUUGGAUCACCUCCUUACCUUAAAGAA
rnacentral:rRNA from 1 species